AACGAACGCUGGCGGCAGGCUUAACACAUGCAAGUCGAACGAGAUCUUCGGAUCUAGUGGCAGACGGGUGAGGAACACGUGGGAACAUCCCUUUCAGUUCGGAAUAACGUUGGGAAACUAACGCUAAUACCGGAUACGUCCUUCGGGAGAAAGAUUUAUCGCUGAAAGCUUGGCCCGCGUCUGAUUAGCUAGUUGGUGAGGUAAUGGCUCACCAAGGCUACGAUCAGUAGCCGAUCUGAGAGGAUGAUCAGCCACAUUGGGACUGAGACACGGCCCAAACUCCUACGGGAGGCAGCAGUGGGGAAUAUUGGACAAUGGGCGCAAGCCUGAUCCAGCCAUGCCGCGUGAGUGAUGACGGCCUUCGGGUUGUAAAGCUCCUUUGUCCGGGAAGAUAAUGACUGUACCGGAAGAAUAAGCCCCGGCAAACUUCGUGCCAGCAGCCGCAGUAAUAC
rnacentral:rRNA from 1 species